CGAAGAGGACCCGACUGUUUGGCUUCGUGGAGCGGAAAAGAUUAGCUACCUCUUCUGAAAUGAAAUCUGUUCAUCAGUUAUGAUUUCUACAUCAUCUCAGAAAAAAGGGCUCUUAAAAACAUUUUCCCAAAAGAUUGGAUUUUGAAAACGAAAAAUAAAAUGUUUCAACUGUGAGUAAAAUUUUUAGCAUGAGGCAAGAAAAAUUACAAGCAAUAUAGCGACAGAAUUUCCACAUCCAGAGACUGCAGUUUCGUCUUUGUUAUGAACUCAUAAGUCUGGAAUAGUGAAUAACAGAGCUGGAGGCAGAUAAUAUCUCUCAUUGAAGCUGAGAGCGCCGACAUGAUUAGAUUAUUCAACGAUGAAAAGUUUAAGUCCCUCACAGUUUUUGAAGUAGCCUGGGUGAUUUUGAAGAGCAAGAUAUAAAAAGUGUUUUCAUACGUAACUAUGUGUUACUUCAAUUAUUUUUUAACUGUUACAAUCAGCUCAGCUAGUAGAGAAAGAUUUUUUUUAUGUCUCAUGAGUUUAAAGAAAUAUUUUCGAAGCACAAAGGGGGAAAAAAAACCUUUUCCAUUUAGCUAAACUGUCAAAACAGCACGACAUUGGGCACUGAUAGAUUAGUAAAACGAUUCCCUUCUCUUCCGAAUUCCAAAAAUCAUGCAUUAUAGCUUUUCCAAAAAGUAUAAAACCUUUA